CUGUAUAAAAUACAUAUGCCACAUUGCGCGAAAUAUAUAUACGUUCACACGUACACUAUAUUAACGCAUAUGACGGUUCCGUGUUAUAUAUGGUUGCACGCUCGUCGUGUAUUUAUAUGUAUCGCGGUCCGUUCAAAUAUUUGUCUAACGACACACGUUGAUUAUAAUUUAUAUAUCAUACGACAAUGUUAGAGAUUAUCAUAAUAUUUGUCGAACGAUCGACGGUGUUACCGCUGAUGCGCUUUGCGGCGUAAGGCGGGACGCUUUCGACUCUUCGAGUUUUGGAGUGUUAUGUAACAAUAUCACCCCGCAUACGAGAGGGUUGAUGGCGUGUGCGUGUUUAUUUGUAAAAAAAUUAAACAAGUUCAACACCGUUCACAUGUCGCGAGACACAUGAAUAUUAUCAAUCUCUAUAUGACAAUUGACGUAUACACAAAGAUAUAUAAGCCCUAGAAUCAUCGACGGUAGGCGGACUCGACGUCCGAAGAGCGCAUCGACGCCGUCGUCGUUAUCGAUCUCGUUAUUAUUGUAAAAAAUGUAACGUGUUUCGUAGCGGUUGCGUCGUCGUAACGCUGACGGAUAUCGCGUCUGCCUCAUUUUUUUAUUGUUGGCCUCAGAUCAGGGAGGAUCACCCCGAGAAUUUAAGCAUAUUAGUAAGCGGAGGAAAAGAAACUACCUAGGAUUUCCUUAGUAUCGGAGAGCGAACAGGAAAGAAGCCCAGCACUGAAUCCCGCCGUUGUUCAGGCGGCGGGAGAUGUGGUGUUCGGGAGGUUCCGCUUUCUCGUCGCGAUCGCUCCUGUCCAAGUUCGUCUUGAACGGGGCCGUUUUCCCGUAGAGGGUGCCAGGCCCGUAGCGACGGAGGAUCGCGGCGAGAGGGACUCUCCUUAGAGUCGGGUUGCUUGAGAGUGCAGCCCUAAGUGGGUGGUAA
rnacentral:sRNA from 1 species